AAGCUUUUUUAAAGAUAUUAAUGGGGCACAAGUGAAUGUUAAAGAAAUAAUAAACUUGAAUAAAAACUACCUCUCCCAUUAUAAUAUUCUCCGUUUGAGUUGUAUCUGGACUGUUGAAAUCACCCAUCUUUCCUGCUUAAACCAUCAAUUUUCACAUGAAAAGAAUAAAAAGAUAUCUUAUUUUGUGUAACAGGUCAAAUGAGGAAAAGUGGAAUUCUACUUUUUCUUUCUUCGAUCGACUGCACUGCUUCUUGUGUCAUUUCUAGCAAGUGUAGAUCCAGGGGGCAUUCCAUACUGGAUCUGAGAAAGAACUUGACCAGCGGAAGGGGAAGGAAACCAUUGUUUGGUCAUUGAUUUGAAUUAAGAAAUUUCUGGAGUAAUGGAUUUUCUUGAAAGGAUCUGAAAUGUUUUGACUUCUCUCUAAUCUCCCUACACUUCAAGAUCAAAUUCAUAUGAUGAGGAAAGUCGUGAAGGCUGUCGAUCUACUAGUUGAAGCAAAUCAUUCUUUAAAUUUGACCUUUGAUAGCUAUGGAUGAUUGCAUGGUUUAUGAUUCUUACAAGUGAGGUUGUUGAGAAAGCGUUUGAGACACAAUGUGUAACGAGACAAGAUUAUUGUCGGUUUGCACGUAUUUGUGUUUUUAGUGGCAUGCAUUAAUAUGUUCGACUGGACUAAAUAAAAUUUUGUUGCAUGUAUGUCUUUUUUUUAA